AUUUAGAAAGAAAUAAAAUUAAUAUAAUAUAUAUAUAUAUAUAUAUAUAUGUUUAUAUUUAUAUUACAUUAAAUAAAUAUCUAAAUUUAAGUAUAUCAUUUACAAUGAUAAGAUGUUUUUUUAACUUUAUUUAAA
rnacentral:tRNA from 1 species